rnacentral:rRNA from 1 species
GCUUUACUGUAACUUGAAAUUGAAAUUGGACUUUAUUUGCGCAGCAUAGGUGGGAGGCAUUGAGUAGAUUCUUGCGGGGAUUUAGGAGCCAUCAGUGAGAUACCACUCUGGUAAUGUUAGAUUUCUAACUUUGUAUCAUUAUCUGGUCAAAGAACAGUUUCAGGCGGGCAGUUUGACUGGGGCGGUCGCCUCCCAAAUGGUAACGGAGGCGUACAAAGGUUUCCUCUGAACGUGUAGAAAUCGUAUCUAGAGUGUAAAGGCAUAAGGAAGCUUGACUGUGAGACCUACAAGUCGAGCAGGGACGAAAGUCGGUCUUAGUGAUCUGACGGUGCUG